AGGACGAACGCUGGCGGCGCGCCUAACACAUGCAAGUCGAACGAGGUUUUAGGAGCUGCUUUGGAAACCGAGUGGCGGACGGGUGAGUAACACGUGAGCAACCUGCCUUUCAGAGGGGAAUAACAUUCGGAAACGAAUGCUAAUACCGCAUAACGUAUUAGGAUGGCAUCAUUUUAAUACCAAAGGAGCAAUCCGCUGAGAGAUGGGCUCGCGCCCGAUUAGAUAGUUGGUGAGGUAAUGGCUCACCAAGUCGACGAUCGGUAGCCGGACUGAGAGGUUGAACGGCCACAUUGGGACUGAGACACGGCCCAGACUCCUACGGGAGGCAGCAGUGGGGAAUAUUGGGCAAAGUGGGGGAAACCCUGACCCAGCGACGCCGCGUGAGUGAAGACGGCCUUCGGGUUGUAAAGCUCUGUUUCGGGGGACGAUAAUGACGGUACCCCGGGAGGAAGCCACGGCUAACUACGUGCCAGCCGCGGC
rnacentral:rRNA from 1 species